rnacentral:rRNA from 1 species
GGGACGAACGCUGGCGGCGUGCUUAACACAUGCAAGUCGAGCGGUAAGGCCCUUUCGGGGGUACACGAGCGGCGAACGGGCGAGUAACACGUGAGUAAUCUGCCCUCCACUUGGGGAUAAGCUUCGGAAACGGGGUCUAAUACCUGAUACGACAACUACCUGCAUGGGUUGGUUGUGGAAAGUUUUUUCGGUGGGGGAUGUGCUCGCGGCCUAUCAGCUUGUUGGUGGGGUAAUGGCCUACCAAGGCUUCGACGGGUAGCCGGCCUGAGAGGGUGACCGGCCACGACUGGGACUGAGACACGGCCCAGACUCCUACGGGAGGCAGCAGUGGGGAAUUUGGACAAUGGGGGAAACCCUGAUCCAGCCAUCCCGCGUGUGCGAUGAAGGUCCUUCGGGUUGUAAGC